GCUGAUUCAAGAGUUAGGAGAAUCGAAACUCAACAAUCACGACGCGAUAACACUUCCACGAGGGAGGCGGGGUUUGGGGGGGCGCAGCCCCCCCAAGUUCCAGCUG